UGUUGGAUUACUGAGUCUUUUUUCAUCUUCUCUUGAGUUCCCACUGGUUUCCUGCUUCUGGGUUCUUUAAGAUUCUCCUUCUUGUGCUCCCUGAUGUUUCCUGGUGUUUUUAUUUGGACAUUUUUAACAGUGAGUUUGCAGAAGUUGGAGAAAACUACCUUUUAUUCUGGCCCAUUCUUCCAGUCAGCUCCUUCAGGAAGCUAACCGGGAGAUGCGAACAGACAGAUUGGAGAGAUUGUAUGCUCAUUCUUGGUGACUUGUGGCCUCCCAGUGGGUCAUUCAUCAGUUUUUCAGAGAUACCAAAGAUUACACGGCUGAAUUGUAUUGAAAUAUAAAAUGUUUCCUGACAAAAUGGUAUAAAA